GGCACUGUGGCUUAGUUGGUUAAAAGUGCCUGUCUGAUUUUAAACAGGAGAUCCUGGUUCAAAUCCCAGCAGUUUUG